AGAUCAUGUGUUUCAGAUAUGCUC
rnacentral:siRNA from 1 species